rnacentral:tRNA from 1 species
CGAGGUGUAGCCCAGUGGCAGAGUGCUUGCCUAGCGUGCGUGAGGUCCUGGGUUCAACCCCCAGUACCUCCA